rnacentral:rRNA from 1 species
CCUACGGGAGGCAGCAGUGGGGAAUAUUGGGCAAUGGACGAAAGCCUGACCCAGCAACGCCGCGUGAAGGAAGAAGGCUUUCGGGUUUUAAACUUCUUUUGACUGGGGAGAGCAGAGGACGGUACCUGUCGAAUAAGCCACGGCUAACUACGGGCCAGCAGCCGCGGUAAUACGCAGGUAGCCGGCGUUGUCCGGAUUUACUGGGUGUAAAGGGCGUGUAGCCGGGCUGACAAGUCAGUUGUGAAAUCCGGGGGCUCAACCCCCGAAUUGCAGUUGAAACUGUUGGUCUUGAGUUUCGGCGAGGCAGGCGGAAUUCAUAGUGUAGCGGUGAAAUGCGUAGAUAUUAGGAGGAACACCAGUGGCGAAGGC